rnacentral:rRNA from 1 species
UACAGAGGGGGGCAAGCGUUUGUUCGGAAUUACUGGGCGUAAAGGGCGCGUAGGCGGCCUUCUAAGUCGAACGUGAAAUCCCCGGGCUCAACCCGGGAACUGCGUCCGAUACUGGAAGGCUUGAAUCCGGGAGAGGGAUGCGGAAUUCCAGGUGUAGCGGUGAAAUGCGUAGAUAUCUGGAGGAAUACCGGUGGCGAAGGCGGCAUCCUGGACCGACAUUGACGCUGAGGAGCGAAAAGCUAGGGGAGCAAACGGG